rnacentral:rRNA from 1 species
GAUGAACGCUGGCGGCGUGCCUAAUACAUGCAAGUCGAGCGAACAGACGAGGAGCUUGCUCCUCUGACGUUAGCGGCGGACGGGUGAGUAACACGUGGAUAACCUACCUAUAAGACUGGGAUAACUUCGGGAAACCGGAGCUAAUACCGGAUAAUAUAUUGAACCGCAUGGUUCAAUAGUGAAAGACGGUUUUGCUGUCACUUAUAGAUGGAUCCGCGCCGCCUUAGCUAGUUGGUAAGGUAACGGCUUACCAAGGCAACGAUGCGUAGCCGACCUGAGAAGGUGAUCGGCCACACUAGAACUGAGACACAGUACAGACACCGCAGGGAGGCAGCAGUAGGGAAUCUUGAGCAAUGAGCGAAAGCCUGACGGAGCAACGCCGCGUGAGUGAUGAAGGUCUUCGGAUCGUAAACCUCUGUUAUUAGGGAAGAACAAGUGUGUAAGUAACUAUGCACGUCUUGACGAUCCCUAAUCAGAAAGCCACGGCUAACUACGUG